rnacentral:lncRNA from 1 species
GAUGAGAUUCAGGCAUUGAUUGAAAGCACAGAAGAGUAAUAUCAUCUUUGGUUUACUUCUGAGGAACGCACUAAAUAUGUACUCCAUGCUUUAACCUCAGUGGCGCCAACCAAAAAUUGUACAAAUCUACAAAGAACAGCCUGGAAAAGAAUAGCACAGGGAUCACAGGCCCAUCUAGAAGACAGUAAUACUUCGCUUUUUCCAACCUUGCUGCUGAUGCUGGUGAUACCAUCAGUGUGAAUUUCAGAUCAGCAGAUACAAUUAAUGAUGGACUGAAAAUCAGUAUCUACAUAUCAAGACCCAGGAGCAAUACAUUAUGCAUCCAGUUCGCACCAAGAGAUGUUGAAAUAAUGCCUAAGGUACUAUAAACUAGUCUGAAAGAGAAAUACAAAGCCUUGAAAUCAAGCAUGUAAAUAGAGAUUAUUGUCACUGAUACUGUUUGAUGAGUUCAAAUUGAUACAUCCUAACAUUCCUUAGAGUCCUUCUCCAAAAAUUACUGAAGAAAAUGUUAUGCAUUAGCUCUUGUUUUAUUACUGUUAAUAUGUUCUUUAAAAUCACUUCGCUUUAUUGAAAGCAGAGGAUGUAAUUGCUCCAAUGACUAAACUUGUAACUUGAUUAAAUUUUCUGGGAAAUGAAUGUGUAAACAUAAUUGAUAAGAACAAUUUA